GACGAACGCUGGCGGCGUGCCUAAUACAUGCAAGUCGAACGCAGUGGGGACGGGUGAGUAACACGUGGGUAACCUCCCCAUCAGAGGGGAUCACAAUUGGACACAGGUGCUAAACCGAUACUGCUGGAUGGACCCGCGGUGCAGUGUCUAGUUGGUGAGGUAAAGGCUAACCAAUGCCAAGAUGCAGAGCCGACCUGUGAGGUGGACCGGCCAGACUGGUACUGGGACACGGCCCAGACUCCUACGGGAGGCAGCAAUAGGUCAUGUUCGGCAAUGGACGAAAGUCUGACCGAGCAACGCCGCGUGAGUGAAGAAUGUUUUCGGAUCGUAAAACUCUGUUGUUAGAGAAGCGGUAUCUAACCAGAAAGCCACGGCUAACUACGUGCCAGCAGCCGCGGUAAUAC
rnacentral:rRNA from 1 species